rnacentral:lncRNA from 1 species
GAGACCAUCAGCUGCCUUUCAUUUAAACCAAAGACAAGGGGCGGCGGUGCAGAAAUGUCCUGGUUCGGUUUUAGGUUAAUGGGAGUUUGAAAGGUGUUAGCCAAGAAAUAGGAUUUUUUUCACAGCGAUCUUGGAAAGGAGAAGUCGUCGUUGUGUGAAGCUGAGAUACUGCGUCAAAGCAAUUCAACAUCAGCUUCUCCAAAAAUGCAGAUAUUCAUGUUCUCAACUUGUUGUCAAACAAAACAACAUCAAGCAACAACCCAUACUUCAGCAGUUUUACUUCUACAACCACAGAAAUAAAUGUUGCUAA